UACGAAGGGGGCUAGCGUUGCUCGGAAUGACUGGGCGUAAAGGGCGCGUAGGCGGAUUGCUUUGUCGGGCGUGAAAUUCCAGGGCUUAACCUUGGGGCUGCGUUCGAGACGGGUGAUCUUGAGUUCGGAAGAGGGUCGUGGAAUUCCCAGUGUAGAGGUGAAAUUCGUAGAUAUUGGGAAGAACACCGGUGGCGAAGGCGGCGACCUGGUCCGAGACUGACGCUGAGGCGCGAAAGCGUGGGGAUCAAACAGG
rnacentral:rRNA from 1 species